rnacentral:rRNA from 1 species
UACAGAGGUCCCAAGCGUUAUUCGGAUUCACUGGGCGUAAAGGGUGCGUAGGUGGUGAGGUAAGUCGGAUGUGAAAUCUCGGAGCUCAACUCCGAAAUGGCAUUGGAAACUACCUCGCUCGAGGAUUGGAGGGGGGACUGGAAUACUUGGUGUAGCAGUGAAAUGCGUAGAUAUCAAGUGGAACACCAGUGGCGAAGGCGAGUCCCUGGACAAUUCCUGACACUGAGGCACGAAAGCGUGGGGAGCAAACAGG